UUUCUCUUUUGUCUAUAAUACAAU
rnacentral:snRNA from 1 species